UCCAUGAGGUUCCUAUUUGUAUAUAAGAUUGGAUGUCUUUCGAACAGAAUCUUACCUUGCUAUAGAUUCUCUACUUUUGGUAAACCUCUUGUAUACAGGAGCAUUCUCACUAUGAAUAUAAUUCACUUCAUUAAAAAGGUACUAGUAGUUAUGUUUAUUGAGUUAUUUUAUAUUCUGAUUGUGUUGAACAAGAAAUGCAUUUAUGAAAUCAAGUGAUCCUACUUUGUCUAGACGAGAUUCCAUCUUACAUAACGAGCCUCUGAGAUGAAUAGUGAUCAAGACUCUGAAAAACUUUUGACUUAUCCAGUAAAUAUUUGUAAUGUAUGAUAAAUAUCCAGAGAAGUUAUCACUUAGCCUGGCAGCCAGGGUCCACA
rnacentral:lncRNA from 1 species